UGUAGCUCAUAGGUAGAGUGCUUGCCUAGCAAGCACAAGGCCCUGGGUUCAAUCCCCAGCA
rnacentral:tRNA from 1 species